rnacentral:rRNA from 1 species
UACGUAGGGGGCAAGCGUUGUCCGGACUUACUGGGCGUAAAGCGCGUGUAGGCGGUUUGUUAAGUCUGUUGUGAAAGCCCUGGGCUCAACCCAGGAAGUGCACUGGAUACUGGCAGACUUGAAUACGGGAGAGGGUAGUGGAAUUCCUGGUGUAGGAGUGAAAUCCGUAGAUAUCAGGAGGAACACCGGUGGCGAAGGCGGCUACCUGGACCGAUAUUGACGCUGAGACGCGAAAGCGUGGGUAGCAAACAGG